AGCGAACGCUGGCGGCAGGCCUAACUCAUGCAAGUCGAACGAAGUCUUCGGACUUAGUGGCGGACGGGUGAGUAACACGUGGGAACGUGCCUUUAGGUUCGGAAUAACUCAGGGAAACUUGUGCUAAUACCGAAUGUGCCCUUCGGGGGAAAGAUUUAUCGCCUUUAGAGCGGCCCGCGUCUGAUUAGCUGGUUGGGGAGGUAAAGGCUCACCAAGGCGACGAUCAGUAGCUGGUCUGAGAGGAUGAUCAGCCACAUUGGGACUGAGACACGGCCCAAACUCCUACGGGAGGCAGCAGUGGGGAAUCUUGCGCAAUGGGCGAAAGCCUGACGCAGCCAUGCCGCGUGAAUGAUGAAGGUCUUAGGAUUGUAAAAUUCUUUCACCGGGGACGAUAAUGACGGUACCCGGAGAAGAAGCCCCGGCUAACUUCGUGCCAGCCGCCGCAGUAA
rnacentral:rRNA from 1 species